AUUGAACGCUGGCGGCAUGCCUAACACAUGCAAGUCGAGCGGUAACAGGUCUAGUUUACUAGAUGCUGACGAGCGGCGAACGGCUGAGUAACGCGUGGGAAUGUGCCCCAAAGUGAGGAAUAACUGCCCGAAAGGGUAGCUAAUGCCGCAUAUGAUCUUCGGAUUAAAGGAUUUAUCCGCUUUGGGAGUAGCCCGCGUACGAUUAGAUUGUUGGUGAGGUAAAGGCUCACCAAGUCGACGAUCGUUAGCUGGUCUGAGAGGAUGACCAGCCAGACUGGAACUGAGACACGGUCCAGACUCCUACGGGAGGCAGCAGUGAGGAAUCUUCCACAAUGGGCGAAAGCCUGAUGGAGCAACGCCGCGUGCAGGAUGAAGGCCUUCGGGUUGUAAACUGCUUUUGUACGGAACGAAACGGCUCACCCUAAUACGGUGGGCUAAUGACGGUACCGUAAGAAUAAGCACCGGCUAACUACGUG
rnacentral:rRNA from 1 species